rnacentral:rRNA from 1 species
AAUCAACGCUGGCGGCGUGCCUAACACAUGCAAGUCGAACGCGAAAGCCUCGCAAGGGGUGAGUAGAGUGGCAAACGGGUGAGUAACACGUGGGUGACCUGCCUUCGAGUGGGGGAUAACGUUCCGAAAGGAACGCUAAUACCGCAUAACAUGCUGCCUUUUAAGUAGGUGGACAGCAAAGCUGGGGACCGCAAGGCCUGGCGCUUGAAGAGGGGCCCGCGCCUGAUUAGCUAGNGGUGGGGUAAUGGCUCACCAAGGCAUCGAUCAGUAUCCGGCCUGAGAGGGCGGACGGACACACUGGGACUGAGACACGGCCCAGACUCCUACGGAGGCAGCAGUGGGAAUUGUUCGCAAUGGGCGCAAGCCUGACGACGCAACGCCGCGUGGAGGACGAAG